UGUUCUGUGGCUUAGUUGGCAGAAGCGUCGGACUAACGAUGCGGAGUCAGUGGGUUCGAAUCCCACCAAAGCAA
rnacentral:tRNA from 1 species